UGUAGACUGCAGUUAUAGAGGCUUAAUAAGAUACAAAAGGAUGAGACAUUGUCAUCUAAAUACGAUAUGGAGAAUGAACACAAGCUUGUAUAAUGUUAGAGAUGGAAGGAUUAACUCCAGAAUAUAGUAAUAUAGAAGCAAAUGAGAGGCCUUUCAUGGCUUUCAUGUGUCUUGAACACCCUGGAAUGGUACCACAGGGGUUUUGAGUCACUCCAACUCGAUUUUUUCCACACAAUACCGCACCUACAGGGAUGCAACGAACCUUAAGCUGAAUGACGAAUUGAGGGGGAAUCUUAUGUAUUUAUCUUC